GAGUUUGAUCAUGGCUCAGAUUGAACGCUGGCGGCAGGCUUAACACAUGCAAGUCGAACGAUGAUUACUAGCUUGCUAGUAUGAUUAGCGGCGAACGGGUGAGUAAUGCUUAGGAAUCUGCCUAUUAGUGGGGGACAACAUUCCGAAAGGAAUGCUAAUACCGCAUACGUCCUACGGGAGAAAGCAGGGGAUCUUUUGACCUUGCGCUAAUAGAUGAGCCUAAGUCGGAUUAGCUAGUUGGUGGGGUAAAGGCCUACCAAGGCGACGAUCUGUAGCUGGUCUGAGAGGAUGAUCAGCCACACUGGGACUGAGACACGGCCCAGACUCCUACGGGAGGCAGCAGUGGGGAAUAUUGGACAAUGGGCGAAAGCCUGAUCCAGCCAUGCCGCGUGUGUGAAGAAGGCCUUUUGGUUGUAAAGCACUUUAAGUGGGGAGGAAAAGCUAAUAAUUAAUACCUAUUAGCC
rnacentral:rRNA from 1 species